UCCCUGGUAGCUCAGUCAGUAAAGCGUCUGCCUGCAGUGUGGGAGAUCCGGGUUUGAUCCCUGGGUAGGGAA
rnacentral:tRNA from 1 species